CCUACGGGAGGCAGCAGUGGGGAAUAUUGGACAAUGGGCGAAAGUCUGAUCCAGCCAUGCCGCGUGUGUGAAGAAGGCCUUCGGGUUGUAAAGCACUUUCAGUGGGGAAGAAAGCCUUGGGGCUAAUACCCUCGAGGAAGGACAUCACCCACAGAAGAAGCACCGGCUAACUCCGUGCCAGCAGCCGCGGUAAUACGGAGGGUGCGAGCGUUAAUCGGAAUUACUGGGCGUAAAGGCGCGCGUAGGCGGUCUGAUAAGCCGGUUGUGAAAGCCCCGGGCUCAACCUGGGAACGGCAUCCGGAACUGUCAGGCUAGAGUGCAGGAGAGGAAGGUAGAAUUCCCGGUGUAGCGGUGAAAUGCGUAGAGAUCGGGAGGAAUACCAGUGGCGAAGGCGGCCUUCUGGACUGACACUGACGCUGAGGUGCGAAAGCGUGGGUAGCAAACAGGAUUAGAUACCCGUGUAGUC
rnacentral:rRNA from 1 species